rnacentral:tRNA from 1 species
GGGGCGGAUGUAGCCAAGUGGAUCAAGGCAGUGGAUUGUGA